rnacentral:rRNA from 1 species
GUUUGAUCCUGGCUCAGAUUGAACGCUGGCGGCAUGCCUUACACAUGCAAGUCGAACGGCAGCACGGGAGCUUGCUCCUGGUGGCGAGUGGCGAACGGGUGAGUAAUACAUCGGAACGUACCCUGAAGUGGGGGAUAACGUAGCGAAAGUUACGCUAAUACCGCAUAUUCUGUGCGCAGGAAAGAGGGGGAUCGCAUACCUCUUGCCUUAGGAGCGGCCGAUGUCGGAUUAGCUAGUUGGUGAGGUAAAGGCUCACCAAGGCGACGAUCCGUAGCGGGUCUGAGAGGAUGAUCCGCCACACUGGGACUGAGACACGGCCCAGACUCCUACGGGAGGCAGCAGUGGGGAAUUUUGGACAAUGGGCGCAAGCCUGAUCCAGCCAUGCCGCGUGAGUGAAGAAGGCCUUCGGGUUGUAAAGCUCUUUCGGUGGGGAAGAAAUGGCACGGGCCAAUACCCUGUGUUGAUGACGGUACCCGCACAAGAAGCACCGGCUAACUACGUGCCAGCAGCCGCGGUAAUACGUAGGGUGCGAGCGUUAAUCGGAAUUACUGGGCGUAAAGCGUGCGCAGGCGGUUGUAUAAGUCAGAUGUGAAAUCCCCGGGCUCAACCUGGGAACUGCAUUUGAGACUGUACGGCUAGAGUUUGGCAGAGGGGGGUGGAAUUCCACGUGUAGCAGUGAAAUGCGUAGAGAUGUGGAGGAACACCGAUGGCGAAGGCAGCCCCCUGGGCCAAUACUGACGCUCAUGCAAAAGCGUGGGGAGCAAACAGGAUUAGAUACCCUGGUAGUCCACGCCCUAAACGAUGUCAACUAGGUGUUGGAAGGGUUAAACCUUUUAGUGCCGUAGCUAACGCGUGAAGUUGACCGCCUGGGGAGUACGGCCGCAAGGCUAAAACUCAAAGGAAUUGACGGGGACCCGCACAAGCGGUGGAUGAUGUGGAUUAAUUCGAUGCAACGCGAAAAACCUUACCUACCCUUGACAUGUCAGGAAUCCCGGAGAGAUUUGGGAGUGCUCGAAAGAGAACCUGAACACAGGUGCUGCAUGGCUGUCGUCAGCCCGUGUCGUGAGAUGUUGGGUUAAGUCCCGCAACGAGCGCAACCCUUGUCAUUAAUUGCCAUCAUUGAGUUGAGCACUUUAAUGAGACUGCCGGUGACAAACCGGAGGAAGGUGGGGAUGACGUCAAGUCCUCAUGGCCCUUAUGGGUAGGGCUUCACACGUCAUACAAUGGUCGGUUCAGAGGGUUGCCAACCCGCGAGGGGGAGCCAAUCUCAGAAAGCCGAUCGUAGUCCGGAUUGGAGUCUGCAACUCGACUCCAUGAAGUCGGAAUCGCUAGUAAUCGCGGAUCAGCAUGUCGCGGUGAAUACGUUCCCGGGUCUUGUACACACCGCCCGUCACACCAUGGGAGCGGGUUCUGCCAGAAGUAGUUAGCCUAACCGCAAGGAGGGCGGUUACCACGGCAGGGUUCGUGACUGGGGUGAAGUCGUAACAAGGUA